rnacentral:rRNA from 1 species
AACGAACGCUGGCGGCAUGCCUAACACAUGCAAGUCGAACGAGACCUUCGGGUCUAGUGGCGCACGUGUGCGUAACGCGUGGGAACCUGCCCUUAGGUUCGGAAUAACUCCCCGAAAGGGGUGCUAAUACCGGAUAAUGUCUUCGGACCAAAGAUUUAUCGCCUUUGGAUGGGCCCGCGUUGGAUUAGCUAGUUGGUAGGGUAAAAGCCUACCAAGGGGACGAUCCAUAGCUGGUCUGAGAGGAUGAUCAGCCACACUGGGACUGAGACACGGCCCAGACUCCUACGGAAGGCAGCAGUGGGGAAUAUUGGACAAUGGGCGAAAGCCUGAUCCAGCAAUGCCGCGUGAGUGAUGAAGGCCUUAGGGUUGUAAAGCUCUUUUACCCGGGAUGAUAAUGACAGUACCGGGAGAAUAAGCUCCGGCUAACUCCGUG